AGCCUUGGUAUGGAGGGUUCAAGUCCCUCUAUCCCCAAAAAU
rnacentral:tRNA from 1 species